AUACGGAGGAUCCGAGCGUUAUCCGGAUUUAUUGGGUUUAAAGGGUGCGCAGGCGGCCAUUUAAGUCAGCGGUUAAAUCGUGGGGCUCAACCCCAUUCUGCCGUUGAUACUGGGUGGCUUGAUUGCGGUCGAGGUUGGCGGAAUUCGUUGUGUAGCGGUGAAAUGCGUAGAUAUGACGAAAAACACCGAUUGCGUAGGCAGCUGACCAGGCCGCGAAUGGCGCUCAUGCACGAAAGGGCGGGGAUCGAACAGGAUUAGAUACCCUGGUAGUCCGCACAGUAAACGAUGAAUACUUGUUUUCGGCGAUAUAAUGUCGGAGGCAAAGCGAAAGCGAUAAGUAUUCCACCUGGGGAGUACGCCGGCAACGGUGAAACUCAAAUGAAUUGACGGGG
rnacentral:rRNA from 1 species